rnacentral:rRNA from 1 species
GAUGAACGCUGGCGGCGUGCCUAAUACAUGCAAGUCGAGCGAACAGACGAGGAGCUUGCUCCUCUGACGUUAGCGGCGGACGGGUGAGUAACACGUGGAUAACCUACUUAUAAGACUGGGAUAACUUCGGGAAACCGGAGCUAAUACCGGAUAAUAUAUUGAACCGCAUGGUUCAAUAGUGAAAGACGGUUUUGCUGUAAUUUAUAGAUGGUUCCCCGCCGCAUUAGCUAGUUGGUAAGGUAACGGCUUACCAAGGCAACGAUGCGUAGCCGACCUGAGAGGGUGAUCGGCCACACUGGAACUGAAACACGGUCCAAGCUCCUACGGGAGGCAGCAGGAGGGAAUCUUCCGCAAUGGGCGAAAGCCUGACGGAGCAACGCCGCGGGAGUGAUGAAGGUCUUCGGAUCGUAAAACUCUGUUAUUAGGGAAAAACAAAUGUGGAAGUAACUAGGCACGUCUUGACGGUACCUAAUCAGAAAGCCACGGCUAACUACGUG